rnacentral:rRNA from 1 species
AUCUACAGCCAUACCACCCUGAACACGCCCAAUCUCAUCUGAUCCUCAGACGCUAGGCAGGGUCAGGCCUGGUUAGUACUUGGAUGGGAGAAAUACAAAACCUAGCAGCUGAAUC